GGUAAAAUGGCUUAGUGGUAGAGCACCUGUCUAGCAAACAUAAGACCCCGAGUUCAAACUCCAGUACUACCA
rnacentral:tRNA from 1 species